CCUCCUCUGAGUUUCGGGUCAAAUGCCAAGGAGAGAUGCACACCCUCCAGAUGCUCCCAGCUCCAUAGAGAAGGCAGACAUCUUCCUGUGGCUCUUCCAUGCCUCUUCUUACUAGUAUGUCUGGCUCUACAGGCCGUGGGUGUCAGAAGCUGGGGUCCUAGGCUCUCCCC